ACUCCUACGGGAGGCAGCAGUGGGGAAUAUUGCACAAUGGGCGCAAGCCUGAUGCAGCCAUGCCGCGUGUAUGAAGAAGGCCUUCGGUUGUAAAGUACUUUCUAGUCGUGAGGAAGGCGGCGUCGUUAAUAGCGGCGUUGUUUGACGUUAGCGACAGAAGAAGCACCGGCUAACUCCGUGCCAGCAGCCGCGGUAAUACGGAGGGUGCGAGCGUUAAUCGGAAUUACUGGGCGUAAAGCGCAUGCAGGUGGUUUGUUAAGUCAGAUGUGAAAGCCCGGGGGCUCAACCUCGGAAUUGCAUUUGAAACUGGCAGACUAGAGUACUGUAGAGGGGGUAGAAUUUCAGGUGUAGCGGUGAAAUGCGUAGAGAUCUGAAGGAAUACCGGUGGCGAAGGCGGCCCCCUGGACAGAUACUGACACUCAGAUGCGAAAGCGUGGGGAGCAAACAGGAUUAGAUACCCUGGUAGGACAGUG
rnacentral:rRNA from 1 species